rnacentral:rRNA from 1 species
AUUGAACGCUGGCGGUAUGCUUAACACAUGCAAGUCGAACGGUAGCAGCUCUUCGGAGGCUGACGAGUGGCGGACGGGUGAGUAACGCGUAGGAAUCUGCCUGUUAGUGGGGGACAACUUAGGGAACUUAAGCUAAUACCGCAUACGCCUACGGGGGAAAGGAGGGGAUCUUCGGACCUUUCGCUAACAGAUGAGCCUGCGUAGGAUUAGCUAGUUGGUAGGGUAAAAGCCUACCAAGGCGACGAUCUGUAGCUGGUCUGAGAGGACGACCAGCCACACUGGGACUGAGACACGGCCCAGACUCCUACGGGAGGCAGCAGUGGGGAAUUUUGGACAAUGGACGAAAGUCUGAUCCAGCCAUGCCGCGUGCGGGAAGAAGGCCUUCGGGUUGUAAACCGCUUUUUGUCAGGGAAGAAAUCCUUUGAGCUAAUACCUCGGGGGGAUGACGGUACCUGAAGAAUAAGCACCGGCUAACUACGUG